GUCCCACCCCCUUUUCUUAGCAACGCCUAUCGCCUUAGACGUCUGAGGUCAGCCGAGCCUCGAUUGGUUCCUCUGUCUUUCACUCUGGGAGACGUUUGAGACCCAGCGUCUCUAGAUCUCGUAUUUGAAUUUGUGGCGCUUGGUGUCCGCGAGUUGCCGAAUGAAGCUGAGCGUCUCAGUGGAACCAGGGAUCUCAGGGCAAUCAUCAACAGAGAAGCUUUCUGCAACCAAAGUGAAGACUGAAGCCUUAGGCUAUGGCAGAAGUUGGGCGCCUGAAGUACACGUGGAAAUAUGCCAACUGAACAUUGGACUACCACGUCAAGGGUCUCCUACCCCUGGGCCAUGGAUCAAUACCAGUCUGUGACCUGUUAGGAACCGGUAGCAGGAGGUGAGUAGCAGCCUAGCGAGCACUACUGCCUAAGCUCCACCUCCUGUCAGAUCAGUAGUGACAUGAGAUUUUCAUAGGAGCAGAAACCCUAUUGUGAACUCCAAACACAAGGGAUCUAGGUUAUGCACUACUUAUGAGAAUCUAAUGCCUGAUGAUCUGAGGUGGAACAGUUUCAUCCUGAAACCACCGCCCCCAUGUGUGGAAAAAUUGUCUUCCACAAAACUGGUCCCUGGUACCAAAAAGGUCAGGGACCACUGCUGUAGGUAAACCUGCA
rnacentral:lncRNA from 10 species